UUUAAUGUGUUUUUGUUAAAAGUUUUAUUCUUGCUUUAAAUUAUCCUAUAAGUAUAGUUUUAUAUACGAUUUUAUUUAGAUUAGAUAUUUUUUUUUGUAGUAUUUUGGAUUGAAUAUCAAGUUAUCUUGGAUUUAGUAAUUUUUAUAGUAGAGGCUAAUGUUGUGCCAGCAGCCGCGGUUAUACGUCAUUUUCAAGGGUAAUUUAUUUGGUAGCAUUUAAUUUUUUUUAGAGAUGGUUUAUUUUGAUUUAUAGUGAAAUAUUAUUUUUAAAUAUUUAUUUUUAAUUUAUUUUUUUUGUUAAAACUAUAGUUUAAACUGGGAUUAGAUACCCCAUUAUUUUAGGCUUAAUUAAUUUCCAGGGUAGUAUGAAUCUUUUUGAAAUCUAAAGAAUUUGGCGGCAUUUAAUCUUUUUAGGGGAACCUGUUCUGUUAAUGAUAAUACACGAUCUGCUUUACUGUUAUUAUGGUUUGUAUACUUCCGUUAUAAGAAUAUUUAAAGAUAAUAUAUUCUAGUUUUUUAAUAAAAAAUUAUUUCAGGUCAAGGUGCAGCUUAUAUUUUAGUAUGUAAUGGGUUACAAUAAUUUAAUUUAUAUGGAUUUUUCUUUUUAAUUUGAAAUUAAAGGUGGAUUUAUUAGUAAGUUUUUAUAAUUAUGAAUUCUGAAUUAGUUCUAAUUUGUGUACAUAUCGCCCGUCAUUCUCAUUUAUUUGAGACAAGUCGUAACAAAGUAGAUUUACUGGAAAGUGAAUCUGGAUU
rnacentral:ncRNA from 1 species